UACGAAGGGGGCUAGCGUUGUUCGGAUUUACUGGGCGUAAAGCGCACGUAGGCGGGUCGUUAAGUCAGGGGUGAAAUCCCGGAGCUCAACUCCGGAACUGCCUUUGAUACUGGCGACCUUGAGGCCGGAAGAGGUUAGUGGAAUUCCCAGUGUAGAGGUGAAAUUCGUAGAUAUUGGGAAGAACACCAGUGGCGAAGGCGGCUAACUGGUCCGGAUCUGACGCUGAGGUGCGAAAGCGUGGGGAGCAAUCAGG
rnacentral:rRNA from 1 species